AGGACGAACGCUGGCGGCGUGCUUAACACAUGCAAGUCGAGCGGUGAUCCUCCUUCGGGAGGUGAGUCAGCGGCGAACGGGUGAGUAACACGUGGGCAACCUGCCCUCACACUGGGAUAACCUCGGGAACCGGGGCUAAUACCGGAUACGACCUCGAGCGGCAUCUCUUGAGGUGGAAAGCUCCGACGGUGAGGGAUGGGCCCGCGGCCUAUCAGCUUGUUGGUGGGGUAAUGGGCCUACCAAGGCGACGACGGGUA
rnacentral:rRNA from 1 species